AAGGCUUUAAGUUAACAAAACUAAUAGCCUUCAAAGCUGUAAAUAAAGUUAUAAAUUCUUUAAGCCUUA
rnacentral:tRNA from 1 species